rnacentral:rRNA from 1 species
UGAGGAAGUAAAAGUCGUAACAAGGUCUCCGUUGGUGAACCAGCGGAGGGAUCAUUAUCGAGUUACCGCUCCUUAUAACCCUUUGUGAACAUACCCCAAACGUUGCCUCGGCGGGCAGCCGGAGCCCAGCUCCGGCGCCCGGAGCCGCCGUCUCGGUGCGCCCCACCCGCCGGAGGACCACUAAACUCUAUUUAAACGACGUCUCUUCUGAGUGGCACAAGCAAAUAAUCAAAACUUUUAACAACGGAUCUCUUGGUUCUGGCAUCGAUGAAGAACGCAGCGAAAUGCGAUAAGUAAUGUGAAUUGCAGAAUUCAGUGAAUCAUCGAAUCUUUGAACGCACAUUGCGCCCGCCAGCAUUCUGGCGGGCAUGCCUGUUCGAGCGUCAUUUCAACCCUCAAGCACCGCUUGGCGUUGGGGCCCUACGGCUUCCGUAGGCCCCGAAAUACAGUGGCGGACCCUCCCGGAGCCUCCUUUGCGUAGUAACAUACCACCUCGCACUGGGAUCCGGAGGGACUCCUGCCGUAAAACCCCCCAAUUUUCCAAAGGUUGACCUCGGAUCAGGUAGGAAUACCCGCUGAACUUAAGCAUAUCAAUAAGCGGAGGAA